CCAAGUCACGCUGUCCCCAUGUCACCCUCAUCCCCAUGUCACGACAUCCCCUUUUCACAACGUCCCCAUGUCACGACAUCCCCACAUCACACUGUCCCCAUGUCACGACAUCCCCAUAUAGCGACAUCCUCAUGUCGCGACAUCCCCAUGUCACACUGUCCCCAUAUCAUGAUAUCCCCAUGUCACGACAUCGCCAUGUCACAACGUCCCCAUGUCACGAUAUCACCAUGUCACCCUCAUCCCCAUGUCACGACAUCCCCAUGUCACGACAUCCCCACAUCACACUGUCCCCAUGUCAUGACAUCCCCAUGUCACGAUAUCACCAUGUCACAUUGUCCCCAUAUCACAACAUCCCCAUAUCAUGACAUCCCCAUGUCACGACAUCCCCAAGUCACACUGUCCCCAUAUCGUGAUAUCCCCACGUCACGACAUCCCCAUGUCACACUGUCCCCAUGUCACAACAUCCCCAUGUUACGACAUCCCCAUGUCACAACGUCCCCAUGUCACGAUAUCACCAUGUCCCACUGUCCCCAUGUCACGACAUCCCCAUAUUGCGACAUCAUCAUGUCGCGACAUCCCCAUGUCACACUGUCCCCAUAUCAUGAUAUCCCCACGUCACGACAUCGACAUGUCACAAUGUCCCCAUGUCACGAUAUCACCAUGUCACCCUCAUCCCCAUGUCACGACAUCCCCAUGUCACGACAUCCCCACAUCACACUGUCCCCAUGUCAUGACAUCCCCAUGUCACGAUAUCACCAUGUCACAUUGUCCCCAUAUCACAACAUCCCCAUAUCAUGACAUCCCCAUGUCACGACAUCCCCACGUCACUGUCCCCACGUCACAGUAUCCCCAUGUCACGAUAUCACCAUGUCACACUGUCCCCAUGUCACGACAUCCCCAUGUCACAACGUCCCCAUGUCACGAUAUCACCAUGUCACCCUCAUCCCCAUGUCACGACAUCCCCAUGACACGACAUCCCCAUGUCACGAUAUCACCAUGUCACGACAUCCCCAUGUCACGAUAUCACCAUGUCCCACUGUCCCCAUGUCACGACAUCCCCAUGUCACAACGUCCCCAUAUCACGACAUCCCCACAUCACACUGUCCCCAUAUCAUGAUAUCCCCAUGUCACGAUAUCACCAUGUCACAACGUCCCCAUAUCAUGAUAUCCCCACGUCACGACAUCAACAUGUCACAACGUCCCCAUGUCACGAUAUCACCAUGUCACCCUCAUCCCCACGUCACGACAUCCCCUUUUCACAACGUCCCCAUGUCACGACAUCCCCAUGUCACGAUAUCACCAUGUCACAUUGUCCCCAUAUCACAACAUCCCCAUAUCAUGACAUCCCCAUGUCACGACAUCCCCAAGUCACACUGUCCCCAUAUCGUGAUAUCCCCACGUCACGACAUCCCCAUGUCACACUGUCCCCAUGUCACGACAUCCCCAUAUUGCGACAUCCUCAUGUCACAACGUCCCCAUGUCACGAUAUCACGUCACAACAUCCCCAUGUCACGACAUCCCCAUGUCACAGUGUCCCCAUGUCACAACAUCCCCAUAUUACGACAUCCUCAUGUCAUGACAUCCCCAUGUCACACUGCCCCCAUAUCAUGAUAUCCCCAUGACACGACAUCCCCAUGUCACGAUAUCACCAUGUCACACUGUCCCCAUGUCACGACAUCCCCACAUCACAAUGUCCCCAUGUCACAUUGUCCCCAUAUCACAACAUCCCCAUAUCAUGACAUCCCCAUGUCACGACAUCCCCACGUCACACUGUCCCCAUGUCACGACAUCCCCAUAUUGUGACAUCCUCAUGUCUCGACAUCCCCACGUCACACUGUCCCCACGUCACAGUAUCCCCAUGUCACGACAUCCCCAUGUCAUGAUAUCACCAUGUCCCACUGUCCCCAUGUCACGACAUCCCCAUAUAGCGACAUCCUCAUGACGCGACAUCCCCAAGUCACACUUUCCCCAUAUCAUGAUAUCCCCACGUCACGACAUCGACAUGUCACAAUGUCCCCAUGUCACGAUAUCACCAUGUCACCCUCAUCCCCGUGUCACGACAUCCCCACCUCACAGCAUCCUCAUGUCGCGACAUCCCCAUGUCACACUGUCCCCAUGUCACGAUAUCCCCAUGUCACGGAAUCUGCAUAUCACGAUAUCCCCAUGUCACGACAUCGCGAUCUUACGCCAUCCCCACCUCACGAUAUCCCCAUGUCGUGACAUAUCGAUGCCACGAUAUCCCCACGUCAUGACAUUCUCGUGUUACGGCAUCCCCACGGCACGCUGUCCCCGUGUCACGACGUCCCCACAUCGCGACGUCCCCACAUCGCGACAUCCCCAUGUCGCGACAUCUCCAUGACAUGGCAUCCCCAUGACACGAUAUCCCCAUGUCGCGACAUUCCCAUGUCACAAUGUCCCCAUAUCGUGACACCCCCAUGACACGACAUCACCGUGUCACAGUAUCCCCAUGUCACGAGAUCUCCUGGACACGACAUCCCCAUGUAUGUCACGACAUCCCCACGUCACGAUAUCACCAUGUCACCCUCAUCCCCAUGUCACGACAUCCCCAUGUCACGCCAUUCUCAUGUCAGGACAUCCCCACGUCACGCUGUCCCCAUGUCGUGACAUCCCCAUAUCAAAACAUCCCCAUGUCACGAUAUCCCCAUAUCACGAUAUCUCCACGUCACGACAUCCCCACGUCACACUGUCCCCUUGUGAUGAUAUCCCCACGUCACACUGUCCCCAUGUCACGACAUCCCCAUGUCACAACAUCUCCAUAUCACGAUAUCUCCAUGUCACACUGUCCCCUUGUGAUGAUAUCCCCAUGUCACGACAUCCCCAUGUCACACUGUCCGCAUGUCACGACAUCCCCAUGUCACGACAUCCCCAUACCACAACAUCCCCGUGUCCUGAUAACCCCAUAUCACAACAUCCUCAUGUCACGACAUCCCCAUUUAAUGAUAUCCCCAUGUCACGACAUCCCCAGGUCACGACAUUGCCAUGUCACACUGUCCCUAUGUCACGACAUCCCCACGUCACCAUAUCCCCAUGCCACCCUCAUCCCCAUGUCACGACAUCCCCAUAUCAUGACAUCCCCAUGUCACGAUAUCCCCAUGUCACACUGUCCCCAUGUCAUGGCAUCCCCACGUCACGCUGUCCCCAUGUCACAACAUCCCCAUGUCACGACAUGCUUUUGUCACGACAUCCCCAUGUCACACUGUCCCUAUGUCACGACAUCCCCAUAUUGCGACAUCCCCAUAUCAGAACAUCCCCAUCUCCCGACAUCCCCAUGUCACGAUAUCCCAUCACAACAUCCCCAUGUCACAUCACCCCCAUGUCACGAUAUCCCCAUGUCACGACAUCCCCAUAUCGUGACAUCCCCAUAUCAGAACAUCCCCAUGUCACUACAUCCCCAUCACACAGUCCCUGUGUCCGACUUUCCCCAUGUCACGAUAUCAUCCCCAUGUCACGACAUCCCCAUAUCACGCUGUCCCCAUGUCACGACAUCCCCAUAUGACAUCAUCCCCAGGUCACAACAUCCCCAUGUCACGACAUCCCCAUAUCACGAUACCCCUAUGUCACACUGUCCCUAUGUCACGACAUCCCCACGUCACCAUAUCCCCAUGCCACCCUCAUCCCCAUGUCACGACAUCCCCAUAUCAUGACAUCCCCAUGUCACGAUAUCCCCAUGUCACACUGUCCCCAUGUCAUGGCAUCCCCACGUCACGCUGUCCCCAUGUCACAACAUCCCCAUGUCACGACAUGCUUUUGUCACGACAUCCCCAUGUCACACUGUCUGCAUAUCACGGCAUCCCCACGUCACGCUGUCCCUAUGUCACGACAUCCCCAUAUCGCGACAUCCCCAUAUCAGAACAUCCCCAUCUCCCGACAUCCCCAUGUCACGAUAUCCCAUCACAACAUCCCCAUGUCACAUCAACCCCAUGUCACGAUAUCCCCAUGUCACGACAUCUCCAUAUCGUGACAUCCCCAUAUCAGAACAUCCCCACGUCACGUUGUCCCCAUGUCACAACAUCCCCGUGUCACGACAUUCUUUUGUCACGACAUCCUCAUGUCACACUGUCCGCAUAUCACGACAUCCCCACGUCACGCUGUCCCCAUGUCACGACAUCCCCAUAUCGCGACAUCCCCACGUCACAUCAUCCCCAUGUCACGCUGUCCCCAUGUCAUGACAUCCCCAUAUCACACUGUCCCCAUAUCACGACAUCCCCAUGUCACGACACCCCCAUAGUAGGCUGUCCCCAUGUCACUGCAUCCCCAUGUCACGAUAUCCCCAUGUCACAACAUUCUCACGUCACGACAUCCCCAUGUCACACUGUCCCCACGUCACGACAUCUCCAUAUGACAUCAUCCCCAUGUCACGACAUCCCCAUGUCCCCCUGUCCCCAUGCCACACUGUGCCCAUGUCACAAUAUUUCCACGUCACGACAUCCCUAUGUCAAACUGUCCCCAUGUCACAACACCUCUGCGUCACGUUAUUUCCAUGUCACGACAUCCCCAUAUCAUGACAUCCCCAUGUCACACUUCCCCCAUGUCACGAUAUUUCCACGUCAUGACAUCCCACUGUCACACUGUCCCCAUGUCAAGACAUCCCCACGUCGUGACAUCCCCAUAUCACGACCUCUGCAUGUCACGACAUCCCCAUGUCACACUGUCCCCACGUCACGACAUGCCCAUAUCCCGACAUCCCCACCUCCCUACAUCUCCAUGUCACGACAUCCCCCUGUCACAGCAAUCCCUUGUCACGACAUCCGCAUGUCCUGACAUCUUUGUCAUGACAUCCCCAAUGUCCCGACAUCCCCAUGUCACGACAUCCCCCCAUAACGUCGCCCCCAUGUCACGACAUCCCCGUCGCAAUAUUCCCAUAUCACGACCUCUGCAUGUCCCGACAUCCCCACCUCCUGACCUCCCCAUGUCACGACAUCCCCGUCACGACACCCCCAUGUCAUGACAUCUCCACAUCCUGACAUCCCCAUGUCCCGAUAUUCCCCAUGUCAUGACAUGCUCCUGUCCCAACAUCUCCAUGUCACGACAUCCCCACCUCCUGACAUCCCCAUGUCACGACAUCCUCCCGUUAUGACCUCCCCAUGUCACGACAUCCCCACCUCCCGACUUCCCCAUGUCAUGACAUAUCCCCACAUCCCUGUCACAACCUCCCCAUGUCACGAUAUCCCCC
ensembl:lncRNA